ACAGACUUGAAACUACACAUAUUAAGUAUAUGUUACUAUGUAUAAACAUAAUAUGCAAAGCUUUAUUUCUGGGUUUAAUUAUAUAUGGGUGAAUUUUUUUUCGGUAAACCGUAAAUGUGAUUAUUUUUUCUCACUAUAGAAUACGCCAAAUUGAUAUGUGGGGUAAAAAAUGGAGAAUGUGAAUACAUUUGUCCGAACAUAUUAUGUGGUCGUGUGUACAAAUCCAAACCUGGGAUUCACAAUCAUCUUAAGUAUGAAUGCGGAGUUAGUCCACAGUUCCAGUGUAAAAUAUGCCAACGAUAUUUUAAACAGCCUGGAACUUUCAAAACUCACAUGAUUAACAUUCAUCAGAACUUUCGUUAAAUGUUGAUGUAAAACUAAAUACACUUGUGAUAAAUGUCGAAGGAAGUACAGGAAUAUGCUUAGUCUGAAAAAGCACAGACUCUACUAUUGCGGCCAACAGUUCAGUUGUGACCUUUGCCAAGGCGUUUUCACACGUAAAGCUACACUUCAGCUCCACAAAGCUGUCAAACACGGAGUACUCAUGGAAUAAUUUUUUUAUGUCUACUAAAUUACUAGAUGUACAAAAAUUCCAAAUUAAAAACCCGUUGUAUUAACGUUCAUUGUAACCUCGACAUUACAAUAAGUUACAAUACAUUUAGGACUACACGAGAUAUUUAGGUUAAAAAUCAAAUCCUACAUAUAUUAUAUUAUAAUUCUAUGUUAUGUACCCAUGUCACAAAGUAAAUCAUUUUGUCUUUAGUUCCAGUUAGUAUGUUAAUAAUGUGAAAAGAAUAAACAAAAAUAUGAAUUUUUGUAAAUAUUAUUAUUUGGUUUUAUUUACUAUUAAACUGAGUAUAAUUAUAUUUAA